rnacentral:lncRNA from 7 species
CCAAGUCAGAGUGCGAUCUGUCUUCCCAGUGUGUACUUAACUGGCCCCAAGGGAGAGCAGUGAAGAAGAAGCCAUCGUGAUGCUGACACUGGACCAAGGCAUGUUGCUUCUUUCCCAGCAAUCCACAUAGGAUAGUGUGCCACAUACAGAGCAGCAUCAAACGGUCUGGGGCCUAAAAACUGAGUAAAAUGCCCCAUGGCCAGAGAGAAAUACAAGAAGAAUGGCUGAGCUCACAACGAUGUCGCUGCGCAUCAGAAGGAAAAACCAUCUGUAUGGUCGUGUUAGCAUCCCCAGGGACCUGGCACCACAGAGCAAACCUCCCACGGCGUUCCCAUUGGUUUCCUACCCCCCAGUCCCUGCAGUGAGAUGGGUCACGCAGGAUGAACCCAGCUGCACUCUGCAUGCCCUCGCUCUGCAGCACAGCUUUUGUUUUAUUAUUUAUGGAUCACGAACACGCUGUGCCUCUUGGGUUACCUGGUGGUAGCACAGCAGCUCCCACUGCUUUAUAUGCCUCUCUGAGAGUACCAUAUUUCCAGGCAGAUGUCUCAGCCCUAAAGCCAGACGGUAGCACCACCCAUGCCAGGGGAUUGUGUGCUGCCUGGGGAGGUGCCUCUGGGGGCUGAAUGCUAUUUCUAAGCUGAUCUAAAGCAGCUGAAAGGCAGGCAGAGCACAGAGAAUGGGAGCAGGGGACCACUGAUAAUAGGAACCUGUGGCUGUCCUAGCUUUGUGCUUCAUGUUAGCUCUGGGGAAGCCUGACCCUGCGCUCUCCUGCACAGACAGUGUGCUCUCUAGUUUGCUGAAGAACUGAAAUGCCCUAAAGAACUGUAACCAUACAGCUCACAGCUGCUUGAAAACAGCAAAGGGAGAGCCAGGAGCUGCUCUCUUCCUGCAGACACAGUGCCCUGAAGACACACCACAGGUCCAAUUCUGCCCACUGGCAUGCAUCUGAUGCAGCAGCCUUGGGCCAGUAAGCAGAGAAACUCAGGCUCAUCACCUCCUCCCACCCUCAUCUCUUGCCCUACCCCAUAAAAUGCAUUUUACUCAGGCUCUGCUGACUCAGUCUCAGGUGCAGCAGUUCUCACUGAGGCGCACAGGGCAGGAAAGCCACAGCCAGCAUCCCCACUCCUCCUGGUGCCUCCAGUCCUGCUCUGGGGGGAGGCUCUGUCCCAGCUCUCCACCUCCUUCCUAUGAUUUCACUGCAGGGAACUUCAGCACACUAGGGAAGCUGGCUUGGGUCACCGGUCCCCUCGUAUAUCAAAGUUUGUCCUUUCCAAGCCAGACCUGGUUAUUUUUAAGCCUCCUUGCUAGGUAUUAAUAGCACACAUGCGUGCUAUCCUGAGCAGUUCCUUUGGUACUCGGAUGGGAGUCGAGCUGAACUGCCCUUACCUAUGAUCACAGUCCCAGUGGCUGGUUUUACAAUUGCAGUUCUGACAAGUUCACUGCAUCUUAUCACCAGCACGUGCCUACACCUGCAUUCACCCCAGCUCCUCAGCAGGAGGGGGAAAAGGCAAAAAGGAGCAGAGAAAGGGGAGACAGACCUGCAGGGUGCAAAGAGAGCCGGGGCUGCAUCUCCCUUGCAAUUGGUGCUGCAUAGAGAGGAAUCAAUGUCACCCCAAAUCUGGACUCCGUCUGCUGAGGGCUCGUCUGCUAAUUAACUGGGCAGCUUUCAGCACCAGUUU